rnacentral:rRNA from 1 species
UACGGGGGGGGCAAGCGUUGUUCGGAAUCACUGGGCGUAAAGGGUGCGUAGGCGGCGCGGUAAGUCGGGUGUGAAAUCUCGGAGCUUAACUCCGAAACUGCAUUCGAUACUGCCGUGCUUGAGGACUGGAGAGGAGACUGGAAUUUACGGUGUAGCGGUGAAAUGCGUAGAUAUCGUAAGGAAGACCAGUGGCGAAGGCGGGUCUCUGGACAGUUCCUGACGCUGAGGCACGAAGGCCAGGGGAGCAAACGGG